rnacentral:rRNA from 1 species
UGCGAGCGACAGGGAGAGCCCAUCGCCGAAUCCCAAGGGCCACGCCCUUAGGGAACUGUGGCGUUUUGGAGAGCCCGAUUAACCCGGGGUCCGUGCACCGUGUUCAAGUCCAUCUUGAACGGGGCCACGGUCCGUAGAGGGUGCCAGGCCCGUAGUUGACCGGUGCCGGCCCCGGGUGGGCUCCUCCUUAGAGUCGGGCUGCUUGAGAGUGCAGCCCUAAGAGGGUGGUAAACUCCAUCUAAGGCUAAAUACAACCACGAGACCGAUAGAGAACAAGUACCGUGAGGGAAAGUUGAAAAGAACUUUGAAGAGAGAGUUCAAGAGUACGUGAAACCGCUCAGGGGUAAACGGAAAAGACCCGAAACACCGAAACGAGAGAUUCACGUCUCCUCGCAGGAGCCGGCUUCCGUUUCGGGGAUGGCCUAACGCCCCGCCCGGCUCGUCCGUGGCGGUGGGUAGGCCGCCCCUUGCGGAGCGUCCGGCUUUUCGGGGGACCGCAAUUCUCUCGCAGUAGGACGUCGCGACCCGCUCUGCGGCGGUCUAACGGCCGGUAGAAUGCCUGGUCGGGGCCCAUCCCUCGGGGUGGGUUCUCGAACAGCUCUCCGGACCCGCGGCCGUCGGUCAGGGCGGUAUGAAACGACUCUAGCGCUGGGCCGCUCCUUCGAGAGCGCCGAGCCUCCCCGCAAGCUCGGGUCGGACUGUCGGGCCGUGCCCUCACGGGUACGUCCGGCGUCCGCCCGGACUGUUGGCGGGUGACGGCUCCGGCUGUCAGUCCAGCACGCUCGUCGGCGGCGCUUCAGAUUCGGGCACUUAUCCGACCCGUCUUGAACCACGGACCAAGGAGUCUAGCGUGUGCGCGAGUCAUUGGGCUUCCAACCCCAAAGGCGAAAUGAAAGUGAAGGAAGCUUUGCUCUCUUAGGGAGGAUGGUCGCGUCUGCUCAAAAAGCGGCGUCCCGCACUCCCGGGGCGUCUCAUUCUCAUUGAGAGUAGAGGCGCACCCAGAGCGUACACGUUAGGACCCGAAAGAUGGUGAACUAUGCCUGGUCAGGACGAAGCCAGGGGAAACCCUGGUGGAGGUCCGUAGCGAUUCUGACGUGCAAAUCGAUCGUCAGAGCUGGGUAUAGGGGCGAAAGGCUAAUCGAACCAUCUAGUAGCUGGUUCCCUCCGAAGUUUCCCUCAGGAUAGCUGGUGCUCUUGUGAGACGAGUCUCAUCCGGUAAAGCGAAUGAUUAGAGGCCUUGGGGCCGAAACGACCUCAACCUAUUCUCAAACUUUAAAUAGAUGAGAACUCCGGCUUGCUUGAAAGUGAAGCCGGAGAUUCGGAUCAGAGUGCCCAGUGGGCCAAUUUUGGUAAGCAGAACUGGCGCUGUGGGAUGAACCAAACGCAGAGUUAAGGCGCCCGAAUCGACGCUCAUCGGAACCCAUGAAAGGCGUUGGUUGCUUAAGACAGCAGGACGGUGGCCAUGGAAGUCGGAAUCCGCUAAGGAGUGUGUAACAACUCACCUGCCGAAGCAACUAGCCCUGAAAAUGGAUGGCGCUGUAGCGUCGUGCCUAUACUCUGCCGUCAACGGCAAAUCGGGCGGCCUCUUAACUGGGGCUGCGCCGUUAGGCCUUGACGAGWAGGAGGGCCGCGGCGAUGUGCGCAGAAGGGUCUGGGCGCGAGCCCGCCUGGAGCCGUCGCCGGUGCAGAUCUUGGUGGUAGUAGCAAAUACUCCAGCGAGGCCCUGGAGGACUGAUGUGGAGAAGGGUUUCUUGUGAACAGCUGUUGCACAAGAGUCAGUCGAUCCUAAGCCCUAGGAGAAAUCCGAUGUUGAUGAGUCGCCGUUAAAAUCCGAUUAUGACUUUGUCGGCUUCCGACGUGUGGGUCAGUUUACUGACGCCGUUCCGUUGUCGAGGCCGAUGAAUGACUAUUCCGGGUUGGCGCUCGUCGGGCGAAAGGGAAUCCGGUUCCUAUUCCGGAACCCGGCAGCGGAACCGUUCCAAAUCGGGCCCUCGCACGAGAGCUCGUCGGGGUGACCCAAAAAGACCCGGAGACGCCGUCGGGAGAUCCGGGGAGAGUUGUCUCUUCUCUAUAAGCGUUCGAGUUCCCUGGAAACCUCUAGCAGGGAGAUAGGGUUUGGAACGCGAAGAGCACCGCAGUUACGGCGGUGUCCGGAUCUUCCCCACGGACCUUGAAAAUCCGGGAGAGGGCCACGAGGAACCCCGCGCCGGCUCGUACCCAUAUCCGCAGCAGGUCUCCAAGGUGAAUAGCCUCUAGUCGAUAGAAUAAUGUAGGUAAGGGAAGUCGGCAAAUCAGAUCCGUAACUUCGGAAUAAGGAUUGGCUCUGAGGAUCGUGGCGUGCCGGGCUUGGUCGGGAAGUGGAGCGGUGUCAACGUGCCGGGCCUGGGCGAGGUGAGCGGCGCAUCAGCGCCGGGAUCCGAGCUCGGUCCCGUGCCUUGGCCACCCACGGAUCUUCCUUGCUGCGAGCCGUCGACAGUCAGUCACCGGUUUCGGCCGGCGG